AUUGAACGCUGGCGGCAGGCCUAACACAUGCAAGUCGAGCGAGCGGCGGACGGGUGAGUAAUGUAUGGGGACUUCCCGAUAGCUGGGGAUAACUACUGGAAACGGUGGCUAAUACCGCAUACUAUCGGAUAACCCAUAUGGGAUUAGCUAGUAGGUGGGGUAAAGGAUCACCUAGGCGACGCUAUCUAGCUGGUCUGAGAGGAUGAUCAGCCACACUGGGACUGAGACACGGCCCAGACUCCUACGGAGGCAGCAUUGGGGAAUAGUGGACAAUGGGCGAAAGCCGGAUGCAGCCAUGCCGCGGGUAUGAAGAAGGCCGUAGGGUUGUAAAGUACUAUCAGCGGGGAGGCGUUACCCGCAUAAGAAGCACCGGCUAACUCCGUACGAGCAGCCGCGGUAAUAC
rnacentral:rRNA from 1 species